UUUUAAUUGGAAACUCGUAUGAAGGGUUGGACAAAGGAUAAUCUGUUUUUAUUUUUAUUUUUGAAUUUAUCUUUUAAGUGAAAAGACUUGAAUAUAUUUAAGGGACGAUAAGACCCUAUAAAUCUUUAUAUUUAAUUUAAUGUUUAUAUUGAUUUUUAAUGUAAAUAUAAAAUAAAGAUUAAUAAUGUUAUGUUGGGGUGACAAGAAUAAAAAAUAAACUGUUCUAAAAAUAAACAAAGUUAUUUGAUUAAUAGUAGAUCCUUUUUAAAGAUAUAAGUUUAAGUUACUUUAGGGAUAACAGCGUUAUUUCUUUUGAGAGUUCAAAUCGAAAAAGAAGUUUGCGACCUCGAUGUUGAAUUAAAAUUUCUUUAUAGUGCAGCAGUUAUAUAAGAAAGUCUGUUCGACUUUUAAAAUUUUACGUGAUCU
rnacentral:rRNA from 3 species